AUACGAACUGUGCAAACGUUAUUCGGAAUCACUGGGCUUAAAGGGUGCGUAGGCGGGUUUGAAGGUCUGAUGUGAAAGCUCACGGCUCAACCGUGGAAUUGCGUUGGAAACCACAAGCCUUGAGGGAGUCAGAGGUGAGCGGAACUAAUGGUGGAGCGGUGAAAUGCGUUGAUAUCAUUAGGAACACCGGUGGCGAAAGCGGCUCACUGGGACUCUUCUGACGCUGAGGCACGAAAGCUAGGGGAGCGAACGGGAUUAGAAACCCCUGUAGUCC
rnacentral:rRNA from 1 species